UACGAAGGGGGCUAGCGUUGCUCGGAAUCACUGGGCGUAAAGCGCGCGUAGGCGGCUUUGUAAGUUAGAGGUGAAAGCCCAGGGCUCAACCCUGGAAUUGCCUUUAAGACUGCAUCGCUUGAACAUCGGAGAGGUAAGUGGAAUUCCGAGUGUAGAGGUGAAAUUCGUAGAUAUUCGGAAGAACACCAGUGGCGAAGGCGACUUACUGGACGAUUGUUGACGCUGAGGUGCGAAAGCGUGGGGAGCAAACAGG
rnacentral:rRNA from 1 species